GACGAACGCUGGCGGCGUGCUUAACACAUGCAAGUCGAGCGGUAAGGCCCUUCGGGUACACGAGCGGCGAACGGGUGAGUAACACGUGGGUGACCUGCCCUUAGCUCUGGGAUAAGCCUGGGAAACUGGGUCUAAUACCGGAUAUGACCUCAUGACGCAUGUUGUGGGGUGGAAAGCCUUGUGCGGCUAGGGAUGGGCCCGCGGCCUAUCAGCUUGUUGGUGGGGUGANGGCCUACCAAGGCGACGACGGGUAGCCGGCCUGAGAGGGCGACCGGCCACACUGGGACUGAGACACGGCCCAGACUCCUACGGGAGGCAGCAGUGGGGAAUCUUGCGCAAUGGGCGAAAGCCUGACGCAGCGACGCCGCGUGCAGGAUGAAGGCUCUCGGGUCGUAAACUGCUUUUAUCUGUGACGAUUAUGACGGUAGCAGAUG
rnacentral:rRNA from 1 species